GAUGAACGCUGGCGGCGUGCCUAAUACAUGCAAGUCGAGCGAAUGGAUUAAGAGCUUGCUCUUAUGAGGUUAGCGGCGGACGGGUGAGUAACACGUGGGUAACCUGCCCAUAAGACUGGGAUAACUCCGGGAAACCGGGGCUAAUACCGGAUAACAUUUUGAACCGCAUGGUUCGAAAUUGAAAGGCGGCUUCGGCUGUCACUUAUGAAUGGACCCGCGCCGCAUUAGCUAGUUGGUGAGGUAACGGCUCACCAAGGCAACGAUGCGUAGCCGACCUGAGAGGGUGAUCGGCCACACUGGGACUGAGACACGGCCCAGACUCCUACGGGAGGCAGCAGUAGGGAAUCUUCCGCAAUGGACGAAAGUCUGACGGAGCAACGCCGCGUGAGUGAUGAAGGCUUUCGGGUCGUAAAACUCUGUUGUUAGGGAAGAACAAGUGCUAGUUGAAUAAGCUGACACCUUGACGGUACCUAACCAGAGAGCCACGGCUAACUACGUGCCAGCAGCCGCCGUAA
rnacentral:rRNA from 1 species